rnacentral:rRNA from 1 species
CCUACGGGUGGCAGCAGUGAGGAAUAUUGCUCAAUGGGCGCAAGCCUGAACCAGCCAAGUCGCGUGAGGGAUGACGGUCCUAUGGAUUGUAAACCUCUUUUGUCGGGGAGCAAGUCCCGCCACGUGUGGCGGGAAGGAGGGUAACCGAAGAAAAAGCAUCGGCUAACUCCGUGCCAGCAGCCGCGGUAAUACGGAGGAUGCGGGCGUUAUCCGGAUUUGUUGGGUUUAAGGGGUGCGUAGGCGGAAGGUUAAGUCAGCGGUAAAAUGUCGGUGCUAACCACCGGCCUGCCGUUGAAACUGGUCUUCUUGAGUGAGCGAGAAGUAUGCGGAAUGCGUGGUGUAGCGGUGAAAUGCAUAGAGAUCACGCAGAA